rnacentral:rRNA from 1 species
UACAGAGGUCUCAAGCGUUGUUCGGAUUCAUUGGGCGUAAAGGGUGCGUAGGUGGCGGGGGUAAGUCAGGUGUGAAAUCUCGGGGCUCAACCCCCGAAACUGCACUUGAUACUGCCUUGCUCGAGUACUGGAGAGGAGAUUGGAAUUUACGGUGUAGCAGUGAAAUGCGUAGAUAUCUGGAGGAACACCGGUGGCGAAGGCGGCAUCCUGGGCCAACACUGACGCUGAGGAGCGAAAGCCAGGGGAGCAAACGGG